rnacentral:rRNA from 1 species
UACGAAGGGGGCUAGCGUUGCUCGGAAUCACUGGGCGUAGAGGGUGCGUAGGCGGGUUUUUAAGUCAGGGGUGAAAUCCUGGAGCUCAACUCCAGAACUGCCUUUGAUACUGAAGAUCUUGAGUUCGGGAGAGGUGAGUGGAACUGCGAGUGUAGAGGUGAAAUUCGUAGAUAUUCGCAAGAACACCAGUGGCGAAGGCGGCUCACUGGCCCGAUACUGACGCUGAGGCACGAAAGCGUGGGGAGCAAGCAGG